GUCGCCUCCUAAAAGGUAACGGAGGCGCUCAAAGGUUCCCUCAGAAUGGUUGGAAAUCAUUCAUAGAGUGUAAAGGCAUAAGGGAGCUUGACUGCGAGACCUACAAGUCGAGCAGGGUCGAAAGACGGACUUAGUGAUCCGGUGGUUCCGCAUGGAAGGGCCAUCGCUCAACGGAUAAAAGCUACCCCGGGGAUAACAGGCUUAUCUCCCCCAAGAGUUCACAUCGACGGGGAGGUUUGGCACCUCGAUGUCGGCUCAUCGCAUCCUGGGGCUGUAGUCGGUCCCAAGGGUUGGGCUGUUCGCCCAUUAAAGCGGUACGCGAGCUGGGUUCAGAACGUCGUGAGACAGUUCGGUCCCUAUCCGUCGUGGGCGUAGGAAAUUUGAGAGGAGCUGUCCUUAGUACGAGAGGACCGGGAUGGACAUACCUCUGGUGUACCAGUUGUCGUGCCAACGGCAUAGCUGGGUAGCUAUGUGUGGACGGGAUAAGUGCUGAAAGCAUCUAAGCAUGAAGCCCCCCUCAAGAUGAGAUUUCCCAACUUCGGUUAUAAGAUCCCUCAAAGAUGAUGAGGUUAAUAGGUUCGAGGUGGAAGCAUGGUGACAUGUGGAGCUGACGAAUACUAAUCGAUCGAAGACUUAAUC
rnacentral:rRNA from 1 species